GUAGGUGAACCUGCGGAAGGAUCAUUUGAUGAGUUUGAAACAGGACUUGAUGCUGGCUUACUCCAAAGCAUGUGCUCAGUUCUACUCAUUCCACUUAACACCUGUGCAUUUUCAAAGUUGUAGUCCUCCGUAAUGGGAGUCGUGUCUUGUAAUGAGAUGCUGGGAUUACGCUUUGCCCCUUUAUCACAAACAUUAUCACUGUCUUGUAGAAUGUUAAUAGCCUAAGGGCUUAAUUUAAUACAACUUUCAACAACGGAUCUCUUGGCUCUC
rnacentral:misc_RNA from 1 species